CCUACGGGAGGCAGCAGUGAGGAAUAUUGGUCAAUGGGCGGAAGCCUGAACCAGCCAAGUCGCGUGAGGGAAUAAGGCCCUACGGGUCGUAAACCUCUUUUGCCGGGGAGCAAGGGCGGGGACGUGUCCCGGCCCGGAGAGUACCCGGAGAAAAAGCAUCGGCGAACUCAGUGCCAGCAGCCGCGGUAAUACGGAGGAUGCGAGCGUUAUCCGGAUUUAGUGGGUUUAAGGGGUGCGUGGGCGGGCUGUUAAGUCAGCGGUAAAAAGUGGGGGCUCAACCACGACCGGCCGUUGAAACUGGGGGCCUUGAGUGGGCGAGAGGAAGGCGGAAUGCGUGGUGUAGCGGUGAAAUGCAUAGAUAUCACGCAGAACCCCGAUUGCGAAGGCAGCCUUCCGGCGCCCUACUGACGCUGAGGCACGAAAGUGUGGGGAUCGAACAGGAUUAGAUACCCUGGUAGUC
rnacentral:rRNA from 1 species